rnacentral:rRNA from 1 species
UACAGAGGUGGCAAGCGUUGUUCGGAAUUACUGGGCGUAAAGGGCGCGUAGGCGGUUCGUUAAGUCCUGUGUGAAAUCCCCCGGCUCAACUGGGGAACUGCACAGGAAACUAGCGGGCUUGGGUUCGGGAGAGGGAAGCGGAAUUCCGAGUGUAGCGGUGAAAUGCGUAGAUAUCCGGAGGAACACCGGUGGCGAAGGCGGCUUCCUGGACCGACACUGACGCUGAGGCGCGAAAGCUAGGGGAGCAAACAGG